GUGUGGUGCCGCCUCCUGCUGGUGGACGGAUUUACUGCAGUGUGUGUGUGUGGUGCCGCCCCCUGCUGGUGGACGGGUUUACUGCAGUGUGUGUGUGUGUGUGUGGUGCCGCCCUCUGCUGGUGGACGGGUUUACUACAGUGUGUGUGUGUAUGUGGUGCCACCCCCUGCCGGUGGACGGGUUUACUGCAGUGUGUGUGUGUGGUGCCGCCCUCUGCUGGUGGACGGGUUUACUGCAGUGUGUGUGUGUGAUGCCGCCCCCUGCUGGUGGACGGGUUUACUGCAGUGUGUGUGUGGUGCCGCCCCCUGCUGGUGGACGGGUUUACUGCAGAGUGUGUGUGUGUGUGGUGCCGCCCCCUGCUGGUGGACGGAUUUACUGCAGUGUGUGUGUGUGUGUGGUGCCGCCCCCUGUUGGUGGACGGAUUUACUGCAGUGUGUGUGUGUGUGUGUGUGUGUGUGGUGCCGCCCCCUGCUGGUGGACAGGUUUACUGCAGUGUGUGUGUGGUGCCGCCCUCUGCUGGUGGACGGGUUUACUACAGUGUGUGUGUGUGUGUGUGUGGUGCCGCCCUCUGCUGGUGGACGGGUUUACUGCAGUGUGUGUGUGUGUGUGAUGACGCCCCCUCCUGGUGGACGGGUUUACUGCAGUGUGUGUGUGUGUGUGUGUGUGUGGUGCCGCCCUCUGCUGGUGGACGGGUUUACUGCAGUGUGUGUGUGGUGCCGCCCCCUGCUGGUGGACGGGUUUACUGCAGUGUGUGUGUGUGGUGCCGCCCCCUGCUGGUGGACGGAUUUACUGCAGUGUGUGUGUUAGUGGUGCCGCCCCCUGCUGGUGGACGGGUUUACUGCAGUGUGUGUGUGGUGCCGCCCUCUGCUGAUGGACGGGUUUACUGCAGUGUGUGUGUGUGUGUGUGUAGUCCCGCCCCCUGCUGGUGGACGGGUUUACUGCAGUGUGUGUGUGUGUGUGAUGCCGCCCCCUGCUGGUGGACGGGUUUACUGCAGUGUGUGUGUGUGUGUGUGUGUGUGUGGUGCCGCCCUCUGCUGGUGGACGGGUUUACUGCAGUGUGUGUGUGGUGCCGCCCCCUGCUGGUGGACGGGUUUACUGCAGUGUGUGUGUGUGGUGCCGCCCACUGCUGGUGGACGGAUUUACUGCAGUGUGUGUGUGUGUGGUGCCGCCCCCUGCUGGUGGACGGGUUUACUGCAGUGUGUGUGUGGUGCCGCCCUCUGCUGGUGGACGGGUUUACUGCAGUGUGUGUGUGUGUGUGUGUGUGGUGCCGCCCUCUGCUGGUGGACGGGUUUACUGCAGUGUGUGUGUGUGUGUGAUGCCGCCCCCUGCUGGUGGACGGGUUUACUGCAGUGUGUGUGUGUAUGUGUGUGUGUGUGGUGCCGCCCUCUGCUGGUGGACGGGUUUACUGCAGUGUGUGUGUGGUGCCGCCCCCUGCUGGUGGACGGGUUUACUGCAGUGUGUGUGUGUGUGGUGCCGCCCCCUGCUGGUGGACAGAUUUACUGCAGUGUGUGUGCGUGGUGCCGCCCCCUGCUGGUGGACGGGUUUACUGCAGUGUGUGUGUGUGUAUGUGUGUGUGUGUGUGCCGCCCUCUGCUGGUGGACGGGUUUACUGCAGUGUGUGUGUGGUGCCGCCCCCUGCUGGUGGACGGGUUUACUGCAGUGUGUGUGUGUGGUGCCGCCCACUGCUGGUGGACGGAUUUACUGCAGUGUGUGUGUGUGUGUGGUGCCGCCCCCUGCUGGUGGACGGGUUUACUGCAGUGUGUGUGUGUGGUGCCGCCCCCUGCUGGUGGACGGGUUUACUGCAGUGUGUGUGUGGUGCCGCCCCCUGCUGGUGGACGGUUUACUGCAGUGUGUGUGUGUGUGUGAUGCCGCCCCCUCCUGGUGGACGGGUUUACUGCAGUGUGUGUGUGUGUGUGUGUGUGGUGCCGCCCCCUGCUGGUGGACGGGUUUACUGCAGUGUGUGUGUGUGUGUGGUGCCGCCCUCUGCUGGUGGACGGGUUUACUGCAGUGUGAGUGUGGUGCCGCCCCCUGCUAGUGGACGGGUUUACUGCAGUGUGUGUGUGUGUGUGUGUGAUGCUGCUCUCUGCUGGUAGAUAGGUUUACUGCAGUGUGUGUG
ensembl:lncRNA